GAUGUGGGAAGGCCCAGACAGCCAGGAUGUUGGCUUAGAAGCAGCCAUCAUUUAAAGAAAGCGUAAUAGCUCACUGGUCGAGUCGGCCUGCGCGGAAGAUGUAACGGGGCUAAACCAUGCACCGAAGCUGCGGCAGCGACGCUGAUGCGUUGUUGGGUAGGGGAGCGUUCUGUAAGCCUGCGAAGGUGACCUGUGAGGGUUGCUGGAGGUAUCAGAAGUGCGAAUGCUGACAUAAGUAACGAUAAAGCGGGUGAAAAGCCCGCUCGCCGGAAGACCAAGGGUUCCUGUCCAACGUUAAUCGGGGCAGGGUGAGUCGACCCCUAAGGCGAGGCCGAAAGGCGUAGUCGAUGGGAAACGGGUUAAUAUUCCCGUACUUGGUGUUACUGCGAAGGGGGGACGGAGAAGGCUAUGUUGGCCGGGCGACGGUUGUCCCGGUUUAAGCGUGUAGGUGUGUGUUCCAGGUAAAUCCGGUUCACUUUAACACUGAGGCGUGACGACGAGGCACUACGGUGCUGAAGCAACAAAUGCCCUGCUUCCAGGAAAAGCCUCUAAGCAUCAGGUAACACGAAAUCGUACCCCAAACCGACACAGGUGGUCAGGUAGAGAAUACCAAGGCGCUUGAGAGAACUCGGGUGAAGGAACUAGGCAAAAUGGUGCCGUAACUUCGGGAGAAGGCACGCUGACACGUAGGUGAAGUGAUUUACUCAUGGAGCUGAAGUCAGUCGAAGAUACCAGCUGGCUGCAACUGUUUAUUAAAAACACAGCACUGUGCAAACACGAAAGUGGACGUAUACGGUGUGACGCCUGCCCGGUGCCGGAAGGUUAAUUGAUGGGGUCAGCGUAAGCGAAGCUCCUGAUCGAAGCCCCGGUAAACGGCGGCCGUAACUAUAACGGUCCUAAGGUAGCGAAAUUCCUUGUCGGGUAAGUUCCGACCUGCACGAAUGGCGUAAUGAUGGCCAGGCUGUCUCCACCCGAGACUCAGUGAAAUUGAACUCGCUGUGAAGAUGCAGUGUACCCGCGGCAAGACGGAAAGACCCCGUGAACCUUUACUAUAGCUUGACACUGAACAUUGAGCCUUGAUGUGUAGGAUAGGUGGGAGGCUUUGAAGUGUGGACGCCAGUCUGCAUGGAGCCGACCUUGAAAUACCACCCUUUAAUGUUUGAUGUUCUAACGUGGACCCGUAAUCCGGGUUGCGGACAGUGUCUGGUGGGUAGUUUGACUGGGGCGGUCUCCUCCUAAAGAGUAACGGAGGAGCACGAAGGUUGGCUAAUCCUGGUCGGACAUCAGGAGGUUAGUGCAAUGGCAUAAGCCAGCUUGACUGCGAGCGUGACGGCGCGAGCAGGUGCGAAAGCAGGUCAUAGUGAUCCGGUGGUUCUGAAUGGAAGGGCCAUCGCUCAACGGAUAAAAGGUACUCCGGGGAUAACAGGCUGAUACCGCCCAAGAGUUCAUAUCGACGGCGGUGUUUGGCACCUCGAUGUCGGCUCAUCACAUCCUGGGGCUGAAGUAGGUCCCAAGGGUAUGGCUGUUCGCCAUUUAAAGUGGUACGCGAGCUGGGUUUAGAACGUCGUGAGACAGUUCGGUCCCUAUCUGCCGUGGGCGCUGGAGAACUGAGGGGGGCUGCUCCUAGUACGAGAGGACCGGAGUGGACGCAUCACUGGUGUUCGGGUUGUCAUGCCAAUGGCACUGCCCGGUAGCUAAAUGCGGAAGAGAUAAGUGCUGAAAGCAUCUAAGCACGAAACUUGCCCCGAGAUGAGUUCUCCCUGAGACUUAGAGUCUCCUGAAGGAACGUUGAAGACGACGACGUUGAUAGGCCGGGUGUGUAAGCGCAGCGAUGCGUUGAGCUAACCGGUACUAAUGAACCGUGAGGCUUAACCUU
rnacentral:rRNA from 1 species